UCUGAUGCAGCUUGUUACCACGGGCAACAGCUCUGAUUCAGCAUGGGUCUGUGCUGUCUACCGAGGCACCAUGUUGGACAAGGCAUGUAUGGGAAUAAAGACUGGUGGAAUGAGAUAGAGCCAGCUUAAAAAGGAGCUGAACAGAGAAAAUAUAUUGGACUGCCAUGGAGCUGAACUAAACAGGUAGCUGUGAGAAGAGGAAAUGAGAACCAUGAAACUCACUGUGAUACCAUCAGUCUCGCCAACCAACUGUCCGUCCAUUCACAUUUCUGGCUGGAGUUACAUGGCAGGGGAUUAUAUAUGCUAUGACUUGUUCGUAAAAAUAAAGCAAGAAGAGUGAGGACCCCACCAAGCCCAUGCCUAAGCCUACACUCUACAGAGACCCUGACCCGACAGAAAACUGUUCUGAGUGUCAGCAAAACCUUGCAGGAAGGU